GAUGAAGAACGUAGCGAAAUGCGAUAUAUGGUGUGAAUUGCAGAAUCCCGUGAACCAUCGAGUCUUUGAACGCAAGUUGCGCCUGAAGGUCGUGAGGCCGAAGGCACG
rnacentral:rRNA from 1 species